AUUAGCAUGGAAUAAUAAAAUAGGACGGUGGUCCUGUUUUGUUGGUUUCUGAAUCACCGUAAUGAUUAAUAGGGAUAGUUGGGGGCAUUAGUAUUCAAUUGUCAGAGGUGAAAUUCUUGGAUUUAUUGAAGACUAACUUCUGCGAAAGCAUUUGCCAAGGAUGUUUUCAUUAAUCAAGAACGAAAGUUAGGGGAUCGAAGACGAUCAGAUACCGUCGUAGUCUUAACCAUAAACUAUGCCGACUAGGGAUCGGACGAUGUUAAUUUUUCUUGACUCGUUCGGCGCCUUACG
rnacentral:rRNA from 1 species